rnacentral:rRNA from 1 species
ACGAGAAUAUUCCGCAAUGGGCGAAAGCCUGACGGAGCGACGCCGCGUGAUGGAUGAAGUGCUUCGGUACGUAAACAUCUUUUAUCGGAGACGAAGCUUAUUGACGGUACCCGAUGAAUAAGGGGCUCCUAACUCUGUGCCAGCAGGAGCGGUAAUACAGAGGCCCCGAGCAUUACCCGGAAUCACUGGGCGUAAAGGGUGUCGAGGCGGCCGCAUUAGUCUCUCGUCAAAUCCGCGGGCCUAACCCGCGGCGCGCGAGGGAAACGGUGCGGCUCGAGGGCGCGAGAGGUGCACGGAACUCAUGGUGGAGGGGUGAAAUCCGUUGAUAUCAUGGGGAACACCGAAGGCGAAGGCAGUGCACUGGCGCGUUCCUGACGCUCACACACGAAAGCCAGGGUAG